UACGAAGGGGGCUAGCGUUGCUCGGAAUCACUGGGCGUAAAGCGUACGUAGGCGGACUCUUAAGUCGGUGGUGAAAUCCUGGAGCUCAACUCCAGAACUGCCUUCGAUACUGAGAGUCUCGAGUCCGGGAGAGGUGAGUGGAACUGCGAGUGUAGAGGUGAAAUUCGUAGAUAUUCGCAAGAACACCAGUGGCGAAGGCGGCUCACUGGCCCGGUACUGACGCUGAGGUGCGAAAGCGUGGGGAGCGAACAGG
rnacentral:rRNA from 1 species